CAGGUAACUCCUCUGUGAUUGGUUCAUCUAAAACUACCUGAUCUCAGGUAACUCCUCUGUGAUUGGUUCAUCUAAAACUACCUGAUCUCAGGUAACUCCUCUGUGAUUGGUUCAUCUAAAACUACCUGAUCUCAGGUAACUCCUCUGUGAUUGGUUCAUCUAAAACUACCUGAUCUCAGGUAACUCCUCUGUGAUUGGUUCAUCUAAAACUACCUGAUCUCAGGUAACUCCUCUCUGAUUGGUUCAUCUAAAACUACCUGAUCUCAGGUAACUCCUCUCUGAUUGGUUCAUCUAAAACUACCUGAUCUCAGGUAACUCCUCUCUGAUUGGUUCAUCUAAAACUACCUGAUCUCAGGUAACUUCUCUCUGAUUGGUUCAUCUAAAACUACCUGAUCUCAGGUAACUCCUCUGUGAUUGGUUCAUCUAAAACUACCUGAUCUCAGGUAACUCCUCUGUGAUUGGUUCAUCUAAAACUACCUGAUCUCAGGUAACUCCUCUGUGAUUGAUUCAUCUAAAACUACCUGAUCUCAGGUAACUCCUCUGUGAUUGAUUCAUCUAAAACUACCUGAUCUCAGGUAACUCCUCUGUGAUUGGUUCAUCUAAAACUACCUGAUCUCAGGUAACUCCUCUGUGAUUGGUUCAUCUAAAACUACCUGAUCUCAGGUAACUCCUCUGUGAUUGGUUCAUCUAAAACUACCUGAUCUCAGGUAACUCCUCUGUGAUUGGUUCAUCUAAAACUACCUGAUCUCAGGUAACUCCUCUGUGAUUGGUUCAUCUAAAACUACCUGAUCUCAGGUAACUCCUCUGUGAUUGGUUCAUCUAAAACUACCUGAUCUCAGGUAACUCCUCUGUGAUUGGUUCAUCUAAAACUACCUGAUCUCAGGUAACUCCUCUGUGAUUGGUUCAUCUAAAACUACCUGAUCUCAGGUAACUCCUCUGUGAUUGGUUCAUCUAAAACUACCUGAUCUCAGGUAACUCCUCUGUGAUUGGUUCAUCUAAAACUACCUGAUCUCAGGUAACUCCUCUGUGAUUGGUUCAUCUAAAACUACCUGAUCUCAGGUAACUCCUCUCUGAUUGGUUCAUCUAAAACUACCUGAUCUCAGGUAACUCCUCUCUGAUUGGUUCAUCUAAAACUACCUGAUCUCAGGUAACUUCUCUCUGAUUGGUUCAUCUAAAACUACCUGAUCUCAGGUAACUCCUCUGUGAUUGGUUCAUCUAAAACUACCUGAUCUCAGGUAACUCCUCUGUGAUUGGUUCAUCUAAAACUACCUGAUCUCAGGUAACUCCUCUGUGAUUGAUUCAUCUAAAACUACCUGAUCUCAGGUAACUCCUCUGUGAUUGAUUCAUCUAAAACUACCUGAUCUCAGGUAACUCCUCUGUGAUUGAUUCAUCUAAAACUACCUGAUCUCAGGUAACUCCUCUGUGAUUGGUUCAUCUAAAACUACCUGAUCUCAGGUAACUCCUCUGUGAUUGGUUCAUCUAAAACUACCUGAUCUCAGGUAACUCCUCUGUGAUUGAUUCAUCUAAAACUACCUGAUCUCAGGUAACUCCUCUGUGAUUGAUUCAUCUAAAACUACCUGAUCUCAGGUAACUCCUCUGUGAUUGAUUCAUCUAAAACUACCUGAUCUCAGGUAACUCCUCUGUGAUUGAUUCAUCUAAAACUACCUGAUCUCAGGUAACUCCUCUGUGAUUGAUUCAUCUAAAACUACCUGAUCUCAGGUAACUCCUCUGUGAUUGAUUCAUCUAAAACUACCUGAUCUCAGGUAACUCCUCUGUGAUUGGUUCAUCUAAAACUACCUGAUCUCAGGUAACUCCUCUGUGAUUGGUUCAUCUAAAACUACCUGAUCUCAGGUAACUCCUCUGUGAUUGGUUCAUCUAAAACUACCUGAUCUCAGGUAACUCCUCUCUUCCUCCGUCACUUUCAGCACAAAUCUGAGCCGCAUUAUUUUUGUGUCAUUUUUGUGUAUUUUGUGUCAUUUCAUACCAUUAUUGCAUCAUUUUUGGGGGGUUGUCGUCAUUUUUGUGUAUUUUCAAGACAUUUUUUUGUCAUUUUUGUCUUUUGUGAAAUUUUUGUGCCAUUGUUGUGUUGUUUUUGUUUUUCUGCU